rnacentral:rRNA from 1 species
AGGUCUUGACAUCCGAUGCUAUUCUAGAGAUAGAAAGUUACUUGGUACAUCGGUGACAGGUGGUGCAUGGUUGUCGUCAGCUCGUGUCGUGAGAUGUUGGGUUAAGUCCCGCAACGAGUGCAACCCCUAUUGUUAGUUGCCAUCAUUCAGUUGGGCACUCUAGCGAGACUGCCGGUAAUAAACCGGGAGGAAGGUGGGGAUGACGUCAAAUCAUCAUGCCCUUGUGACCUGGGCUACACACGUGCUACAAUGGUUGGUACAACGAGUUGCGAGUCGGUGACGGCGAGCUAAUCUCUUAAAGCCAAUCUCAGUUCGGAUUGUAGGCUGCAACUCGCCUACAUGAAGUCGGAAUCGCUAGUAAUCGCGGAUCAGCACGCCCGCGGUCGAAUACGUUCCGGGCCUU